rnacentral:lncRNA from 1 species
AUGUAUAAUUCACGACACGAUACUCGGGCCACUAAAUUACGUGCAAAACUCAGACUAAACAUGCAGAUACAUGAAUCAAGAUUAAAGCUAACAGAAACCACACAAGUGGCCCAAACUUCCUAGGAUGAUAUCGCAGAAUGAACGUUGAAAUGCUUGGCCAUAGUAGUAAACAAUACUCUUUUGUUUCCUCCGUUAGUCUUUUAACAGAGAGUCUUCAACUGAGAGACAGAUUCAGUUUGCUGAUUCCAUCUGUACUCCCAACCAACCGCGCCGAGCUCAAAUUCAUCAACGCGGUUCACAUCACACACUGCUAGCUGCAAAACUGACCACAAUCGUUCUCAGAUAUUGAAAGAUCGAAAACGAGGAAGAGAAGAGGAAGAGUAAGAACUGCACGUACCUGUACUAAUCUGGUCGAAUCAGCUUCGUCGUCUCCACUCCCCACCCAGGCUUGGAUUUUUGGAGUUUCUUCUUCUCCGAGCAAAACUUGAGAGAUGUCUCCAAGAUGAGCAGAAGUUCGUGGCAA